GCAAUGCUCCCUCCUUGAAGCUUGAAGCAGGACCUAUCAGAAUAAGGCUGAUGAUGGUCACUACAAUGUGUGCUGUGGGAAUGAUGUCCUUCCAAGUGCCAAAAUUUGCAUUUGAGCAAAAUAAAGUCCAAUUAGGAAUGAGAAACCCUGAGCAAGCAAGUGAGGCGAUCGCAGUGUUCAAGACAAAACCAUGCCUACCCUGAGUUCAGACAAAGCAGUAAGAAAAAUUGGCGCAGCUACAGAGCUUUUGGUAUAGUCUAAUGCCAGGGAAAGGAUAAUCACCUUCAUUUUCUUCUCAUUCUCAUCAGAAUCAUUUUCAUCAUCAGGANNNNNNNNNNGAGUACAAGGUGUCCUGUGGGAAUGAUGUCCUUCCAAGUGUCAAAAUUUGCAUUUGAGCAAAAGAAAGUCCAAUAAGGAAUGAGAAACCCCAAGCAAGGAAGUGAGGCGAUUGCAGUGUUCAAGACGAAACCAUGCCUACCCUGAGUUCAGACAAAGCAGUAAGAAAAACUGGCACAACUACAGAGCUUUUGGUAUAGUUUAAUGUCACGAAAAGGAUAAUUACCUUCAUUUUCUUCUCAUUCUCAUCAGAAUCAUUUUCAUCAUCAGGAAUGCCUAUGCCAACAUGAUCAAUUGGACUGUUCGUUGCUCUCUUCUU
rnacentral:lncRNA from 1 species